rnacentral:tRNA from 1 species
GGUUUGUGGCUCAGUGGUAGAGUGCUUGUCUAGCAUGCAUGAGGCACUGGGUUCGAUCCUCAGCACCA